rnacentral:rRNA from 1 species
UGUACCAGUUGUCGUGCCAACGGCAUAGCUGGGUAGCUAUGUAUGGACGGGAUAAGUGCUGAAAGCAUCUAAGCAUGAAGCCCCCCUCAAGAUGAGAUUUCCCAACUUCGGUUAUAAGAUCCCUCGAAGAUGACGAGGUUAAUAGGUUCGAGGUGGAAGCGUGGUGACACGUGGAGCUGACGAAUACUAAUCGAUCGAAGACUUAAUCAA